CUUAUCGGGACCGCGGGGAAGGGGCGGGGAAGGGGCGGGGAGGGCGGUGCUCCGCGGCCCAGACUUGGCCCUCGCCCCGCCCACCCGCCUACCAGGGCUACGCCCGCGGGCUCUGACUUGUUUUCGUGUCUGCUCGGGGCAGUGAAGCACUUCAGCUCCUCCCUCCCAAAGUGGGCGGCAUUCUGCUGAGCCGGGGCUUUCUCGCCUGUAAAGAGACCUUUGACCCCGCCUGUGGGUAAUGAUCUGUAGCUGGGGCUCCGGGCGGACUCCGGCAGCAUGGGGUCCCCCGCGCCCUCCUGCAGGGGAGGGGCCAUUGGCUGGGCUCAGAUGGGCAAGGGGUCUUUCUGCGGCGGGAUCUGCGCUCCUGGGCCUUUGAGGGCUGCACCAGGGAGGCAUUGCCCCACUCCGAGAAGAAAACACACAUCCACGCGUGAAAAACAUGGACAACCGGGACCAAGAAGACUUAAGUCAUGUUUAUCAAAUGUCGGGUGGUCAAGGAUAUCUUAAGAUUAAAAGUGAUGAAAGAAUUCUCACACACUAAGGGACAAAGUUUAGAGCUUCUACUUAAAACGGAAAACCAAAAUUAAAAAGCAGAUAACCAGGGGAAAAGAAACGCAACACAACAAAGGAUUAAACUCCUUCACUGAGAGAGACUUCAUAUGAAAAAGAAAGAUGCUAAGACCUCAGUAGAUAAAACAAAGAAGUGAGGAAACAACUUCUAUCACCAUGAGAGACACCUGGGAACAUCGAUCUCUGUUGGGAAGGGGGAGCAUUUGGAAAAUGAUACCCACUGGACACUUGCUGAUGGAGAGUUCGUCAGUUUCAUCUAACAAACUGGAAUCACCGGGGCCACCCAGGAACUGAAGCAGCUCAUGAAGAAAUCCCAUGUCAACAGGGCAGUUAAAAGCCAACCCGUCGGGGAGGGCAGAAUGGAGGAAGGACAAGAGGGUUCUGAUAUGUCCUGGACGCAGAGCUCCCAUGGAAGGUCCUCAGCACUUCUCAUGCUUCAAGUGGAAGUGAGUAAAUUCCUGACGCCCCCACCGCUUCUCUGCCCCUGGGGUAAUAAUGACAACAACAGAGCUCCUAUGGCGGGGUGGAGACGGCAGAGAGGUUUCUGUCUUUGAUUUAAGCGAACUCUAAGGUUGUGACAUCAAACAGCAAAAACACCAACACAGCACCAGUAAAUCAAGCCCUUGGAGAUGAUCCCAUGGAAAUUAGCCCCAGAGAGGCAUUUCUCAAGGGUGUCGCCGGCUUUCAGAAGUGUGUCUCAUUUUGGGCUGUUUCCUCCAUGAUCCACCAAGCUGGGAGUUCCAGUGGCAAAAGCAAGCCGAGACAGGAGCACCAACUGUCGUCUCUCUCUCUCU